rnacentral:rRNA from 1 species
AAUAGAUACCCCGGUAGUCCACGCUGUAAACGUUGGGCGCUAGGUGUGGGGGGCCUCUCCGGUUCUCUGUGCCGCAGCUAACGCAUUAAGCGCCCCGCCUGGGGAGUACGGCCGCAAGGCUAAAACUCAAAGGAACUGACGGGGGCCCGCACAAGCGGCGGAGCAUGCGGAUUAAUUCGAUGCAACGCGAAGAACCUUACCUGGGUUUGACAUGGCCGCAAAACCGGCAGAGAUGUCGGGUCCUUCGGGGCGGUCACAGGUGGUGCAUGGCUGUCGUCAGCUCGUGUCGUGAGAUGUUGGGUUAAGUCCCGCAACGAGCGCAACCCUCGUUCGAUGUUGCCAGCGCGUUAUGGCGGGGACUCAUCGAAGACUGCCGGGGUCAACUCGGAGGAAGGUGGGGAUGACGUCAAGUCAUCAUGCCCCUUAUGUCCAGGGCUUCACGCAUGCUACAAUGGCCGGUACAAUGGGCUGCGAUACCGUGAGGUGGAGCGAAUCCCAAAAAGCCGGUNUCAGUUCGGAUCGGGGUCUGCAACUCCG